rnacentral:lncRNA from 1 species
GCCUGCAAAUGAAUGGUUGCCUCAAGUAAGCUACCAGAGAGCCUAGGAUGAUGGGUGUCACACAUGAAUGACAUGAUCCAUUAGCUUCUGCUUCGCAAGUUUCAACAGGUAAGUGCAGAAACAUCAUCGUACGUACUUUGACAAGAGAAUGCAGAGGUUGACCAAGAUAAGAAUUUCUUAAUGUCAAACUAUCAACGAUAAAUUGAAACUGGUGUAACAAAGAACCGAAAAGAUCUCUUACCAUUUUGGACGAGGUGGUCUACUCGUUUGGUGCUGAUCCCACGCUUCAUCUUUCUGAUGUUGCUCACGAUUGUGCAGGAACAACGCCCAAUUCAACCAAAUCCAAAAAAAAAAACUUGGGAGGAGCUAAGCUGUGCAAGGCAAGAAAUGGAUUUGCUCGGCCUAUCCUAAAGUUGGCAAACUUGAAGGAAACGUUCUGAGUUAUAGAUGUUGCGAGGGUGAAUUUUUGGGGGGUGUUGUUCCAUUGUGCCCCGCUAUUCUUGGGGAGUGUUUGGUGGUCGGAGGUAGGCGAGGUUUUGGCGCCGCAUCCUCAGGGCCCUCUAAUGUAGGGAUGAUGAGAUUUAUAGAACGAGAUCCAUAUCUUCGACAUGAUAGAUGCGCAAUGUUUUUCCUUGUUUUUUUCCCUACCAGAGUUCAAAUCCUACAGCCUUGUAAUAAGGGUCUGAUCAUCUCUGACUGCAAAUAAUACCGCUGCUCACCCUCAAUUUCCCAUACAAAUAAUAAUCGUGG